AUCUUUUCUUGACGUAAAGAUCCAUGGAGUGAUGCUACCAGCCUUUCUUCCAAGCUUCCAGGCUGGUCUUGUGCAGACCGCUCAACACCAAGUCUUCCCAUCAGUCUUCUCCCUUAAUCUGGAAUCCUCAAGUAGAAAUGUGUGGGGCCUGACAACGCUGAAAGUCAUCUGACUGAAACCAGCCAAUGCUUCUCAGCACAGCUGAAAUAGCAGAUGCAUUCUUCCUCACCAGCACUGAAAGUGGAGAUGAAUUUUUGCCGGUAAAAGGAAAAAUGUCAUAAUGCAUGGGAAUGCAGAUGAAAUAUAGUUCAGCAUGGAGUCCAGACAACAAUAGAGAGUGGAGCAGCGCAGCGCUUGCAGCUCUGAACGAACGUGCCAAACGACGACACUCAAAGAGCGCUAGCUGUUGUGACACAAGCAAACUGUUUCAGGUUUUAGAUAUACGUUAUUUCGGAAUCUUGGUCUUC